rnacentral:lncRNA from 1 species
GCACAUUUAAGAUAGCACUUGUAUCAUAUAUUCCAACAUGAAAUGAUCUUGCAAACAAAUUUGACAACAACAUAGCAAAAAAUAAGCACUUAAGACAACAAUACUCCAAGAUCAGUUUUACAUACUUCACCAAACCACACUAAAUAUAGCAUUUUUAGAUAGUUUUUACAAACACAAAAUGACCACACAACAGAUCAUAACUCUUUCAUUUUUUUCUUGAUCCUUGUGUUGCAAGCAGGGUUAGAUGAGAACCUUGAAAUCAACCUAGUGGUGACACUUCUGCUCACAUCUUUAUUGAGCUGGUUGCUUCCACUUACAUACCCUACAGUAUGAUCUGGUGCACACUUCAGCUUCUUCUUGGCUGGUGACAUUACUCUCUCAUCUUCCCUUUUAUAGUUUUUUCUUGAGCUACAGUUGAAAUGAGACAUGAGAGUUAGCAAACAACAAUAAUAAGCAUGAAAAGGAAGAAAAAUGAAACAACAAAACACAUUACUGCACUGGAGAUUGUUGGUGCUUCACUUGCUAGGGCUGUCACUACAACGUUUUCAUGAACUGGUACAAGAGAAGUUGUAUCAGCUUCUGUAGCUUGUGCAGCUUCUGUAGCUUCUGUAUCAGUAGCAGCUUCUGUAUAUGUAGCAGCUUCUGUAUCGGCUUCUGCAGCAGUUUUUGUUAUAGCUAAAGG